GAGUUUGAUCUUGGCUCAGAUUGAACGCUGGCGGCAGGCCUAACACAUGCAAGUCGAGCGGUAACAGGACUAGCUUGCUAGUUGCUGACGAGCGGCGGACGGGUGCGUAACACGUAGGAAUCUGCCCGGUAGUGGGGGAUAGCCCGGAGAAAUCCGGAUUAAUACCGCAUACGCCCUAAGGGGGAAAGAUGGCCUCUUCUUGAAAGCUAUCACUAUCGGAUGAGCCUGCGUCGGAUUAGCUAGUUGGUGAGGUAAAGGCUCACCAAGGCGACGAUCCGUAGCUGGUCUGAGAGGGAUGAUCAGCCACACUGGGACUGAGACACGGCCCAGACUCCUACCGGGAGGCAGCAGUGGGGAAUAUUGCACAAUGGCGCAAGCCUGAUGCAGCCAUGCCGCGUAGUGUGA
rnacentral:rRNA from 1 species